rnacentral:rRNA from 1 species
GAUCAUGGCUCAGGAUGAACGCUGGCGGCGUGCCUAACACAUGCAAGUCGAACGAGAUGCGUAUUGGAAAGCUUCGGCCGGAAGAUGCGUUAUCUAGUGGCGGACGGGUGAGUAACACGUGGGUAACCUGCCUUAUGGAGGGGGGAUAACAGAGAGAAAUCACUGCUAAUACCGCAUAAGCACACAUUGCCGCAUGGCAGAGUGUGAAAAGAUUUAUCGCCAUAAGA